UACGUAGGCAGCGAGCGUUGUUCGGAGUUACUGGGCGUAAAGCGUGCGUAGGCGGUGCCAUAAGUCUGUUGUGAAAUCUCCCGGCUUAACUGGGAGGGUGCGGUGGAAACUGUGGUGCUGGAGUGUGGGAGAGGUAUGCGGAAUUCUCGGUGUAGAGGUGAAAUUCGUAGAUAUCGAGAGGAACACCGGUGGCGAAGGCGGCCGUCUGGACAGCAACUGACGCUGAGACGCGAAAGCGUGGGGAGCAAACAGG
rnacentral:rRNA from 1 species